rnacentral:rRNA from 1 species
AUUGAACGCUGGCGGCAGGCCUAACACAUGCAAGUCGAGCGGAGCGGCGGACGGGUGGGUAAUACAUAGGAAUCUGCCUGGUCGCGGGGGAUAACGUUCGGAAACGGAAGCUAAUACCGCAUCCUAUCAGAUGAGCCGAGGUCGGAUUAGCUAGUUGGUGAGGUAAUGGCUCACCAAGGCUACGAUCCGUACCAGGCCUGAGAGGAGGACCAGUCACACUGGAACUGAGACACGGUCCAAACUCCUACGGGAGGAAGCAGUGGGGAAUAUUGGACAAUGGGCGAAAGCCUGACCCAGCCAGGCGGGGGGUGGGAGAAAGGUCUUCGGAUUUUAAAGCACUUUAAGUUGGAAGGCGUUACCGACAGAAUAAGCACCGGCUAACUACGUGCCAGCAGCCGCGGUAAUAC